CUGGCGGCAUGCCCUUACACAUGCAAGUCGAACGGCAGCACGGGAGCAAUCCUGGGUGGCGAGUGGCGAACGGGUGAGUAAUAUAUCGGGAACGUGCCCAGUCGUGGGGGAUAACGUAGCGAAAGCUACGCUAAUACCGCAUACGAUCUAUGGAUGAAAGCGGGGGAUCGCAAGACCUCGCGCGAUUGGAGCGGCCGAUAUCAGAUUAGGUAGUUGGUGAGGUAAAGGCUCACCAAGCCGACGAUCUGUAGCUGGUCUGAGAGGACGACCAGCCACACUGGGACUGAGACACGGCCCAGACUCCUACGGGAGGCAGCAGUGGGGAAUUUUGGACAAUGGGCGCAAGCCUGAUCCAGCAAUGCCGCGUGCAGGAUGAAGGCCUUCGGGUUGUAAACUGCUUUGUACGGAACGAAACGGUGAGCUCUAAUACAGUUUGCUAAUGACGGUACCGUAAGAAUAAGCACCGGCUAACUACGUG
rnacentral:rRNA from 1 species